GUAAUGGACAAAGGAUCCCUAAAAGGUGAUGCUGUUGGUUUAGUUAUAUGAGGGGUUAAUACCGGAAUACCACUAAUAUCAAACCCAUCCAGUACAAGGUUUCCCCUGUUUACCCCUUGGUCCUCAUUUUCUGCAAUACCAGAUGCCUCUUCUUCCUCUGCACACAUAUCCCCAUGGCCACAUACAGCAACUGGGGUUUGUGCAGCUAAACCUGUUCUAAGCGAUGAAAUUAGCUCUCCUCUCGCUUCAUAAUUGUCCUCUAAUGUACUUACAUAUUCUGCAUUUAAGCCACAAGUUGGACAAUCA